rnacentral:rRNA from 1 species
GGCUCAGGAUGAACGCUGGCGGCGUGCUUAACACAUGCAAGUCGAACGAUGAAGCCCAGCUUGCUGGGUGGAUUAGUGGCGAACGGGUGAGUAACACGUGAGUAACCUGCCCUUAACUCUGGGAUAAGCCUGGGAAACUGGGUCUAAUACCGGAUAGGAGCGUCCACCGCAUGGUGGGUGUUGGAAAGAUUUAUCGGUUUUGGAUGGACUCGCGGCCUAUCAGCUUGUUGGUGAGGUAAUGGCUCACCAAGGCGACGACGGGUAGCCGGCCUGAGAGGGUGACCGGCCACACUGGGACUGAGACACGGCCCAGACUCCUACGGGAGGCAGCAGGGGGAAUAUUGCACAAUGGGCGAAAGCCUGAUGCAGCGACGCCGCGUGAGGGAUGACGGCCUUCGGGUUGUAAACCUCUUUCAGUAGGGAAGAAGCGAAAGUGACGGUACCUGAGAAGAAGCACCGGCUAACUACGUGCCAGCAGCCGCGGUAAUACGUAGGGUGCGAGCGUUAUCCGGAAUUAUUGGGCGUAAAGAGCUCGUAGGCGGUUUGUCGCGUCUGUCGUGAAAGUCCGGGGCUUAACCCCGGAUCUGCGGUGGGUACGGGCAGACUAGAGUGCAGUAGGGGAGACUGGAAUUCCUGGUGUAGCGGUGGAAUGCGCAGAUAUCAGGAGGAACACCGAGGCGAAGGGCAGGUCUCUGGGCUGUAACUGACGCUGAGGAGCGAAAGCAUGGGGAGCGAACAGGAUUAGAACCCCUGGUAGUCCAUGCCGUAAACGUUGGGCACUAGGUGUGGGGCCAUUCCACGGUUUCCGCGCCGCAGCUAACGCAUUAAGUGCCCCGCCUGGGGAGUACGGCCGCAAGGCUAAAAACUCAAAGGAAUUGACGGGGGCCCGCACAAGCGGCGGAGCAUGCGGAUUAAUUCGAUGCAACGCGAAGAACCUUACCAAGGCUUGACAUGUUCCCGAUCGCCGGUAGAGAUACGAUUUCCCCUUUGGGGCGGGUUCACAGGGUGGUGCAUGGUUUGUCGUUCAGCUCGUGUCGUGAGAUGUUGGGUUAAGUCCCGCAACGAGCGCAACCCUCGUUUCCAUGUGUCCAGCACGUAAUGGUGGGGACUCAUGGGAGACUGCCGGGGUCAACUCGGAGGAGGUGAGGACGACGUCAAAUCAUCAAUGCCCCUUAUGUCUUGGGCUUCACGCAUGCUACAAUGCCGGUACAAAUGGGUUGCGAUACUGUGAGGUGGAGCUAAUCCCAAAAAGCCGGUCUCAGUCGGAUUGGGGUCUGCAACUCGACCCCAUGAAGUCGGAGUCGCUAGUAAUCGCAGAUCAGGCCAACGGCCUUUGCGGUGAAUACGUUCCCGGGCCUUGUACACACCGCCCGUCA